UGUUUUUCACCCUGGAUCUAGUACGCUCCCAACCCACCGAAGGCGGGCUCCCGGACCUAGAAGGCGGAGAAGGGACCUCUGCUGCAAAUGUUUCAACACUCCACGUAUCAUCUCCGUCCCAGAGGCUAUCAAAGAUUAGAAGCUGAAAAAAACACACUCGCGAUGAAAUGUUCUCUGAGCUCAUGCAGGCCUCCCACGCUGAAAGAGCCCAGCAGAAUGCAUGGAGGGAGACAAUGUCAGAGUCCAGAAAAGCACAAAAUGAACGAGAGGAGAGGAGGGACGCGCGAGAGAACAGGAGGGAUGAGCGAGAGGAGAGGUGGCGGAGGCGUGAUGAGAGGAGGCAGGAUGCAAUGCUGAGGCUACUGGAGGAUCAAACUGAUAUGCUCUGGCAUAUGGUUGAGGUGCAGGAAAGGCAGCAGGAGCACAGACUGCCACUGCAGCCCCUUUGUAACCAACCGCCCUCCUCCCCAAGUUCCAUAGCCUCCUCACCCAGACGCCCAAGAACGCGGUGAGGAGGCCUCUAGGCACCCAACCACUCCACCCCAGAGGACUGCCCAAGCAACAGAAAGCUGGCAUUCAAUAAGUUUUGAAGUGCAGUGUGGCCUUGUCCUUCCGUCCUUCCCUUCUCCACCACCCCACCUGGUGCUUCCCUCCUCCCCCAUCCCUCCUGGGCUACCUUGGCAGUUAUCCCCCCAUUUGUGUGACGAAUUAAUAAAGAAUGCAUGAAUUUGAAACAACAA